GUCGUUUAUCUCCUGUCUGGCAAGUUACCUGUUAAUGCUUACUGGAUUGAUACCCUGGGGAGCCUGGCCAGUCUUUUGUAAUGAUAAGUACUUAGUUCCUGAGCCACCCUAUUCAUAGGCUCACCCUAUUCAUACACAGAUAUUCCCUUAAGACAGGAUUUGUGAAGGAAGAAGCAAUAGGGAGGCUCCUCCAUUUGACCUUGCAGAGAAUACACCUGGUCAGCCUGGGAGUCAAAAUGGCUCCAUAGCUGCUUUCCUGUGCAGCUUCAGACAUGUGGCCUAUAUAUCUAUGUACGUGUUUGCUUGGUACAUUUAUGAACCUUUAUUAUAUACAUAAGACCUUAAUUUAUUUAUUUCA